rnacentral:lncRNA from 1 species
ACGCGACGCACGGCCCGGCUUCCCCGCCCGGCCGCCGCCAUGAUGAGGAGGUCGGCGCGGCUGUGCUGCGGGCAGGCAGCGGAGAGGGCUCGCGGCGAGGGCUCCAGCUUACCCCGCCGCCGCGUCGCGUGCACGGAGCGCUUCAGAGGUUUGGAGGGGGCCGGAACCUCAAAAGCAACUGGAUGAGCACAACGCGGACGCCCCGGAGAAGCGGCGCAAGCGGGCCCAAAAUGGUUGCUGAUCAGACGAGUGGCAUCUCUCGCCCCCCUACCGCGGGAAUUGGGACCUCCAGACUGUGCCUGGGGGAUCGGCAAGUGGUUCCCCUCUGGUUUUUUCGGCGCUGCCUUCCCGGUGGUAUCCUCACUCUCUCUCUUUGAAAUGACCUCUGCUUUCCUAUCUCUAACUCUUCCCAGAUAUUUGAAAGCAAGUUUUUGUACAAAGCAACAUAUGAAUGUAUUCAGCCAUUCGAUCGUUCGGCGAACAUUUCUAGGUGUCUCGUGCUGUGCCAGAUAUUGUUCUGAGUGCGCUGAAGAUGCACCUGUUAGCAAGACAAAGUCCUGGCUCCCACGGAGCUUAUUCGAAGCAAUAGGGGCCCCCAAGCAGGUGCCUGAGAAGUAGGGAGGGGUGGACAGUGGGAAAACAACCUAACGGUGGAGACACACGAGGGGUCUUUUUUUACUUUUAGAAACGGGGGUGGGUGGUCACCCUAUGUUGCCUAGGCUGGUCUCGAACUCCUGGGCCCAAGCGAUCCUCCCGACUCAGCCUCCCAAAGUGCUGGUAUUACAGGACACCAUGCCCGGCAGAGGGGUCGUUUUUGUUGUUUUUUUAGUGUCGUCAGGAGACUCCCUCCAUCAGAAUUACUCAGGCUGAUUGUUUUGAGUCCUGGGACCCAGUUGGUAUCCAGAAUCUUGGCUUGUUUGCCUAGGAACCUGCAUUUUCACAUCCCCAUCUCCACACCCCUGGUGAUUCUUAUGCAUAUAAUAAUGUGAAAAGCAUUGCAUUGAAGAAUUGCUAAAGGGUGUCAGAAAACGGAUUAACAAAAUCAGGAAGCUUUAAUUUUCAAGAUUCUAUUAACCUCAAAAUUCAACAUAUCCAAAAAUUGAAUGUCUUUUUCUCCAGUGUUUUCUAGGAGAGUGCCAACACUAGCCACCCAAGUGCUCAAGCCAGAAACCUGGAAAUGAUCCAUUACUCUUUCCUCUGUCUCUGGAGUCCCCAUGUUAAAUUAGAUGUGUUUGUUUGUGAGACAGAUUCUCACUCUAUUACCUAGGCUGGAGGGCAGUGGUGCAAUCAUUGUUCACUGCAGCCUCGACCUCUCUGGGCUCAAGGAUCCUCCCACCUCAGCCUCCCCAGUAGCUGGGACUACAGGUCCCCACCACCACGCCCGGCUAAUUUUUGUAUUUUUAGUAGAGAUGAGGUUUCAUCUUGUUGGCCCGGGCUGGUCUCGAACUCCUAGGCUCAAGUGAUCUGCCUGCCUUAACCUCCCAAAGUGCUGGGAUUACAGCCGUGAGCCACUGCACCCAGCCCCAAUUAGAUUUUUAAAACUGUUGUUCCCUGUCAGUUCUUACUCUGGUUCAGGCUACUGUCAUCUCUCCUAGAGACACUGCGGUAGACUCCUCUUGGUCUCCCUGCCACCGAAAUUGCCCUCUCCAAAUCCACUACAGCUUGAAUGGUCUUUCAAGAAAGAAAAUCAUGUUUUUUCCCUGUUUAAGACUCUUAAAAAGAUCUGAUUAACACGUAGGAUAAAGUCUAAAAUUCUUUGAGGUGGCUACAGGGCCAUUGGUGAUCUCAUCCCUGUUGCCAUCUCUGACCUCAUCUGCCACAGAUAUUUCUCAGGCUACACUCAAAACUGGGAAGCUCUCAGGUCAUUUAAGCCUGGAAAUUGUGCCACCUCACAACUGUUGCAAGGGCUGUUCCCUUUGCCCAUAACUUCAUUUCUCUCUACACCAUCUAUGCACUUACUUGAAUCCUCACCUGAAUAAUUCUUACCAUUCUUUCAGAUCCCAACAUUAAUACCAUCGCCUCCAGGCAGCAUUUUUUCAUCUCCCAAGAUUGGGUGCAUUAGACCCUUUGUCAUCACACCCAGUACUCCCCACGUUUAUUGAGCGCUCACGAUGCGUCAGGCCCUAGUGGAAGCCUUUAUGCACAUUAUCUUCUUUCUCAUUUAAUUAUCAAGUAGAGCCCACAAGGUAGGUACUACCUUUUUUUUAACUUUUGAGACAGGGUCUCACUGUAUCUCCCAGACUGGAAUACAGUGGCGCAAACACAGCUCACUGCAGUCUCAUCCUGGGCUCAAGCAAUCCUCCCAUCUCAGCCUCCUGAGUAGCUGGGACCACAGGCAGAUGCCUGUUGCCCAGGCUGGUCUCCAACUCCUGGGCUCAAGCCGUUCUACCUUAGCCUCCUAAAGUGCAGGGAUUACAGGUGUGCAACUGUGCCCGGCCUGGGUAGUUACUAAUAUUAUCCCAUUUUACAGAUGAAGAAACAAGGACAUAUAGGGGUUACUUGCCCAAACCCAGACAAUAAGCUAGAUCUGAAAGUCAUCAGCCUGACCUCAGAGUUGUACUUUUAACCAUUAUCAGGGUCUCAGGCCAGUACCCACUGAUGAAACACAUAAGUAACUUAGUGGGUCAUUACCAACAUUUCAUUAAAGAAAUAGAAAAUGGCAGAGAACAUCAAACUUAGUAAGGCUCUUGUUUCGUGAAACUUGUCAGAUUCUCUAAUAUGAUAAAUACUAAAUCUUACAAACAUUGAAAAUACAAAAUUAAACAAAAUAUUACCAAGGUUAACACAAAAGUAUGAAUACUGCAGAUCUGAUUUAUUUUACUAUCCUCAUCUUUAAUGCAGAACCUUCUUAGGAUUAAAUGACAUUUACCAUUCUGAGCAAACUGAGGUUACUGCCCCAAACGGACUGGGCUUACCUUUGCAGGAGAACAGGGGAGGCUGUGUUUUGGCUGGAGAUUUUUGGCUAAGAGUCAAGACACAGAGAUUCUUCUGCUACCACUGUGAACACAUCAAGUCCCUUUCACAUAGAUGCUGUUUCCACAAGGGUCUCCCCACACCCUUCCCUACAGAUUAGAUUCCCGUGAUGCCUUAUUUAAUUCUUGUUGGAUCUGUUGAUUUGGUUAUGAAGUAGGUGAAAUUCUGGUAACCUCACCCAGGUUCCUUCCCCUCUUGAUUAGAUCCAGCCAGUCUGUUCGCUGGAUGAUUAAAUUUGGCAUUCAUUUUUCUGUGCUUUCCCUAUCUGCUACUAUCCUAAAGUCAUUCUAAUGACCAAAAAAGGUGCCUUGAGCCAGACUGUAGAGGGUUCUAAUGGCCUCCUUAGAAAUUGUGUUUUUUUGUUUUUUUUUUGAGAUGAGGUUUCGCUCUUGUUGCCCAGGUUGGAGUGCAAUGGUGCGAUCUUGGCUCACUGCAACCUCCGCCUCCCGGGUUCAAGCGAUUCUCCUGCCUCAGCCUCUCAAAUAGCUGGGACUACAGGCAUGCGCCACCACGCCCGGCUAAUUUUGUGUUUUUAGUAGAGACGGGGUUUCACCAUGUUGCCCAGGCUGGUCUCGAACCCCUGACCUCAGGUGACCCACCCACCUCGGCCUCCCAAAGUGCUGGGAUUACAGGCCUGAGCCACCAUGCCUGCCAAGGAACUGGUUCUUAGUAGGCAAUAGACAGUUGACAAUUUUGAGCUAAGCACUAAGGUCAUAGGAGUGUAGAUUCACCAGGGAGUGAGUUGGGCUUCUGGUCUCUAGAGGGCGCUCAAGGCUUCUCCCUCCCCACCCUCUUCCUUCCCCCAAGGUGGAGGUAGGAUGGUGAAGAAAUUUCAUCUCCCCACCACCAAACACACACAAAGGAAGAAAAUCUUACUAAAAUUGGAGAAUAUGGAAUAACAUUUUCUUGGGAUGGAGCCCUUAAAAGAUAACACGUUCAACAGAAAGUGCUGCGUCUUUCCCGUUCUUCAACAUACUCUGAGUGGUAACAAGGGCUGCCCUUGCCUUUCUCAGAGGCAGCCCAGCCAGCUUGUUCUCUUUCCCUCUCCCACAAGGUAGCCAGGCCCUAAGGCUAUGGCCCACAGAAAAAGUCUUAGCAAGGCCCCGGGCUUGGGGCAAAGAGGCUGUGGAUUUGUCUUUCUCUCUACUUUUUCUGGUUAGUGUGCCUCUAUCCCACUCGGAAGAAAAGUUCCAAGACUCAAAUUUGGGCAUUGAUGUGGGGAGGAUAGACAGAGAUGACCAGAAUCCAGCCUAUCUUUCCUGACUUCUGCAUUGUGGUUCAUACCCAGCUAAUAAUAAAGUGUUCCUUUCCCUGGUGUGUCAUUGCACAUGUACUCCCCACACUCCUGAUGAGUAGAGAUGGCUGGCCAAGACAGGAUUCAGACAUUCCCACAUCCCCAACCAAACAUCCUCUCCAUACCAUCUUAUUAAUCAGUCUUUGAACAAUUUCCUAAACUCCCUAACAGGUUGGAGAUGGCUGGAAGAAAUGAAAAGAAGAACGCCAACAAAGGCGAUAAAGAAAAAUUCAACACUGCUUGAUAACUGAUGAGAUAGUGAAGGAGUAGGAGGGCAAAAGUCAGAAGUAAUUCCAGGUGUUCAAGAACUAAAUGCUGAAGAGAUGUUAGUGUCGUUGACGGUCUUCUAAUGGGAAGUGAAUUUCAAUAGAAAGAGGAUGUGUUUGGUUUCAGACAGACCGAGUGACUGGUGACAACAGGAAAGCCACGUGUUUGGAGCAGAUUACUCGGUACAGUCAGCAGCUGGAAUGGAAGUGAAGAAGGCCCAGCAGAGCAUCAGACCUGAGUGCAAACUAUGGUGGUGUUGGUGGAAUAGAGGGAAGGGAGAGAUUUGAGAGACAUUGGGAAGAAAGGUUUUGGUUUUUGAGACAGAGUCUUGCCCUGUCAUCCAGGCUGGAGUGCAGUGGCAUAAUCUUGGCUUACAGCAAACUCCACCUCCCGGGUUCAAGCAAUUAUCAUGCCUCAGCCCCCUAAGUAGCUGGAAUUACAGGCAAGUGCCACCACAUUCAGCUAAUUUUUGUAUUUUUAGUAGAGACAGGGUUUCACCAUCUUAGCCAGGCUGGUCUCAAACUCCUGACCUCAGGUGAUCCACCUGCCUCGGCCUCCCAAAGUGCCGGGAUUACAGGUGUGAGUCACCAUGCCCAGCCACCAGAAGUUUAAUCAAGGCUCAGAGACUGAUUCCAGUUUGAGUUUUCUAAUAACUGUCUAAUACUUAGCUAAUAGCUUUGGACAGUUGCUCUUUUUAAAAUGAGAUCAUUCAAUCAUUGCAUUCAUCUUUGGGUAUGACUCACUAGUCAACAGAGUCCCCCUUCUGUAGAAACUGCCUCAUUCACAGAGAUGACCUCCACCAGUCAUGCCUAUAUUUGAGACCCUGUCUCUCUUUAUCCCCCAUUGCUGCGUGAUUCAAGGGUGGUCACCUGACCCAGGCAGUGCCAAGUUUAUUCUCUGUCUUGGGAAUUUAGAAUGUUUGUUUGGCUAAGAGACACAGAAACUGGAAGCUGGAGCUGAUGAUGGAGCUGAUCACGCUAAUGAUGGAGCUAUAGAGAUAAGAUGCAUGAACACCACCGAGGUCCCCAAGAUUGCCAUAUUCCUGCAGUGCCUUCUGGCCACAGAUAGUUGGUCCAGAAGCAGGUUCCUGACUCAACCUGGGCCAAUUAGAGCCUUUCACGGAGAUUUUGAAAUCAAAGUUGAGAUCUCUCUUUCUCUCUAUGCCCUUUGGUGUAUGUGUACUUGAGCUACAAGUUACCCAACUUUGGAAGCUGUAGACAGAGGCAAUUUUCCACUAAAUGAAGUGAGAAACAGAAAGUCCAUCAUUAGUGAGAGAGGAGCAAGGCAGAUGCACACAGAGAAGCAGAUAGAGGGGAAGCGGGCGGGAGUGGGGCGGGAGUUCCUGGAGUCCCCACAGUGCUCUAGUUUCUGAUUCUCUUCCUAAGACCCACAGGAUUCCUGCCUUUGGGUUUCUUAAGUUCCUGAAUAGCUCCUGAUUGCCUUUGUCUUUUUUACGAAAGUCCUUUGAGCAUGGUUUCAGGUGAGCAGACAGUCCUAACCUAAAGAGCUGUAACAAAUACACGUGGGCUGUGUGUGAGAUUCGGGGAGAGGCACCAGGGAUCCAGUGUGGGUCAGGCGUGGUGCCGCCCUCAAGGAACUUAGUGGGGAGAAAAUGAAGUCUGUACUUCAAUAACUACAGUGCAGGCUAGGAAGAGAACACCCUUAGAGAUGUGCAAAUCAAGCUCUUUGGGAGUUUAGAGGAGGCCUAGGACUGCUAAGGAAAGGCUGGGACUAGGAAGAGGUAAGCAAGUCACUGAGGAGGCAAAAUUUAAGAAGCCACCCACUCUCAGGGUGUGUGAAUGCAGCGUUGGCACUUGCAUGACCCUGAGAAUGAGCAACCCCUUAAAUGUAUCUUAGGCACCUUGCCAGACUCACUUUUAGCUUGCUGGACUAAUUGUGGGGAUCAGUAGGCCUUCAGAGGAAAGUUAGUGUCUGAGCUGAACUGAAGGAUGGGGUGGUUUUGGACUUGGUGGCAAUGUCAUCUACCUCAAGGUAAAGUAACAAUAUGGAAAACGCUCCCGUGAAAAUUCACAAGGUCUGUUCUAGGAUCAUCAGGCUCUUCGGUGUGACUUAAGAGUUCAGAGCAUGAAGGAGGAGGGGGCAGUAAGAAAAAUGGAGAGAACGUAGCAUCAGAUUCUGCAGGCAAGGAGAAAAUUGCUAAGCUGGGAAAUAACAUAAUCAGAGCGGUACUUAAGAUGAAUCUAACGGAAUAGCAUGAAAUAAAGGAAAGGCUAAGGAGAGGACAAACAGGAGGCUAUUGUGGCAAUCCAGGCGUGAAAGUCUAAACUAAUCAGCACUGGGAAUAGAGAUGCCAUAGGAAAAAUAAUACAUCAUUAAUAUAACUUGGCAAUUGAGUAGAUGUUGGAGACAAGAGAGAAAUCAGAAACACUGCUAAACACUAUGCAGCUAUAACAAAGAAUGAGAGAGCAUUCAGUAAGAUCACAUCCAAGAUAUGUACAUGAAAAACACAAGGGAUAGAACUGUGUAUAUGGCAAGCUAUCACUUGCAUUUUUUAUUUUUUAAAUGGUAUUUAUUUAUUUCUUGUUUUUUCCUUUUUUUAAGACUAAAAAAUCAAUUAUAAAAUCCUCAA